ensembl:lncRNA HAR1B highly accelerated region 1B
GGGAGAGCCGGGCGCAGAGACCGAGGCACAGUCGCGCGGCGCGGCGUUCCGCGUGACCCUGCGGUUAAAACCCGCGCGCUGCAGCAUCGCGGAAAACGGGAUUCGCCUCAUUUGAAACUUGAGGAAAAUCUCUAAACACUUUCAUUUUGAUAGAAACCAUUUCCGCCGCUGACGUGCGUCUACGCCCAUCAUUUCAGCUGACACGUUGCUGUAACGUCUCCUCCGUUUCAUGCUCUUUCGAACCCUGUCAGCUGCGGGAAGGAACUUCUAAACUAAAAGCUGGCAAGACUCAGCAGAAAAAAAAUAUCGAAAGCUGCUUCUGCUGCCCCAGCUUCACUCAGGCCCUGGCUGCUCCUUCACUGGUCUACACUGCUGCCUCCUGGAACCACCCACUCUGCAACCAGGUCUGAUGCCCGGUGUGGACAUUCAGGGAUGAGGUCCCCUGGGGCUAAAUGAAUGAACAGAUUCUGAAAAGCAGAAGCUACGUCCGGGGGUCUCUGGGCCACAAAUCACUUUCUGACCUGCAGCCGUGAGGCGUGAGGCUCACUCGGAAGCUCCCGGAACCUGGAGACUGCCCUCACUCAACACUUGAACAAGCAAGGGGCCAGGUUCAAUGAAACACCUGCCCGCCCGGCACACCAGGCUCAAAAGCAAGCAAGCAAGCAAACAAACAAACAAAAUCAAAUCAGGCCUUCACAACUCCCCAAAUCAUGUGGUACCCAGAUACAACAAACAAAAACGCAGCAAACAAAAACACAGGGUGCCCAGCUCAACAGGAAGUUUGGAGAAGCAGUGACUGAUUUUUUAGUGUAAAGAGUAUGGCCUCCUAGAUACCGACCUCAUGCCAUACGGAUGCAGUCAGGCUCUGGCGGUCAGGAAGGUGGCUCCGGAGCUCGGCUCUGCACCGCAUCCUCUGCCCCCUGUUUCCCGAGAUUGCUCCUGGACACACCUUUCUCUCCCGCCCUGUGGGGUACACAGCACCCAUGACAGCUUCUGUGGGACAAGAAACGGUGCGGGGCGAGGAGGGCGGGAGGCGGAGGAAGCAGAUCUGGGUCUGGGUUCUGUUUGUGGAGUGGAAAUGUAAGAACCAGGCGAGCUGACCGGGUGGCUGGGCCGUGUGGACCCAGAUCAGCACUGUGCCAUGGUGCUCUCGAGAGCCAAAGAGCCAGCCCACCUUGCAGGGCUGGGCCCGUCUGUUCCAGAAACCACAUCUGCAGCCAUACGGCAGCAGCUGCCUGUUGACGGCAGCGUUGGAUCCUCUGACCACAGCUGAAGCUUUGACCAACAAAAGUCCCAGGGAGCUGCUCAGGGCGGGAUCAGAAAAGAGGGUGCUUAGCAAGCCACACGCCACACACCCUCCCUGGGAGGCCCUGACAGCGCUUCUCUCCCUCCCAUUUUCGCUCUGGCAGCCAUCGUGGCGCAGACCGUGGAGCAGGGGCAGCUCUUACCCCUGGGUCUGGCAUCAGGAGCGUGUCCCACCGGCUCUGUUGCCGCAGCCUCAAAGCCCCACGUGGGGCAGCAGCCGGAUCGGCACUGGGGGAGCCGGAAUCCAUCAACCUCGGCCUCAGAUCAGCAUCCGCCCAGCCCUCCUGCCCCACAUCCGAGCCAUUUCAAGGGCUGCAGGGACAUUGGGAUGAUGGGGAAGUGGGCCGAGGACAGCCCCAGGGAAGGCUUUGUCUGAACUCCUCAAAUCACCGGGCGCUGACAUUUGGGAUUUUUGCCUUCCUGGCGCACCCCCACCCCACAUGCACACUCACGUGCAUGGCGUCGGCAGGAUGUGGGUGCUGCAGAGGUGCCCCCACUUCUGUGUCUCCCACGCAGCCCCGGGAACCUGGGC